rnacentral:rRNA from 1 species
GACGAACGCUGGCGGCAUGCCUAACACAUGCAAGUCUAGGGGUAGCAAUACCACUGGCGCACGGGUGAGUAACACGUAGGUUAUCUGCCCCCAUCACAGACAUAACCCCGGGAAACCGGGGCUAAUAUCUGAUGAGGUCGCGAGAUCAAAGCUUCGGCGGAUGGGGAUGAGCCUGCGGCUGAUUAGCUAGUUGGUGAGGUAAUGGCUCACCGAAGGCGACGAUCAGUAGCUGGUCUGAGAGGACGAACAGCCACACUGGAACUGAGACACGGUCCAGACUCCGUACGGGAGGCAGCAGUGAGGAAUAUUGGU